GCCUCGGUGGUGUAGCGGUGUAGCACGCGUCUCCGGUAUUGAUGGAACGCGGGUUAGAUUCCCUCCUAAGGCC